ACUGCCUCUAGUGGCAGUGCAAAUUUGGCUACUGUGUCACAUGUGUGUCAGUAGGUGGCAGAGAGGAGAGAGGUUAUGUCUAUACUCAGUGUUCUGACUUAUGGAUAUCUGAGUUAUUAGUAGCCUAACACU